rnacentral:misc_RNA from 1 species
GUAUUCUCAACCAUGCCUCGGCAUGGCUUGGACUUGGGAGCUGCCGGCGUCGCGAGACGUCGGCUCUCCUCAAAUGCAUUAGCGGACCAGCGUCGUCCGGACAUGCCACGGCCUCGUUCGACGUGAUGGAUAACGAUCGUCGUCCGGCUGAAGGGAAGUGUCCGGACGGGAGAGCGUCUGCUUCCAACCCCCCGGGGCCAGCUCAGCUACCCCAACCCCCCACC